UCCCUUAGUAACUGCGAGUGAAGAGGGAAGAGCUCAAAUUUAAAAUCUGGCAGUUUUUUGCUGUCCGAGUUGUAAUCUAGAGAAGUGCUGCCCGUGCUGGACCAUGUACAAGUCUCCUGGAAUGGAGCGUCACAGAGGGUGAGAAUCCCGUCUUUGACAUGGACUGCCAGUGCAUUGUGGUGUGCUCUCAAAGAGUCGAGUUGUUUGGGAAUGCAGCUCUAAAUGGGUGGUAAACUCCAUCUAAAGCUAAAUAUUGGCGAGAGACCGAUAGCGAACAAGUACCGUGAGGGAAAGAUGAAAAGAACUUUGGAAAGAGAGUUAAACAGUAUGUGAAAUUGUUGAAAGGGAAACGCUUAAAGUCAGUCGUGUCGGCCAGGGAUCAACUCAGUUUAUUCUGCUGGGUGUAUUUCCUGAUCUGAUGGGCCAACAUCAGUUUUGACUGCUGGAGAAGGAUAGGGGGAAUGUGGCACCUUCGGGUGUGUUAUAGCUCUCUGUCAUAUGCAGUGGUUGGGACUGAGGAAAGCAGCAUGCCGCAAGGCCAGGUUUCGACCAUGUUCAUGCUGAGGAUGUUGGCAUAAUGGCUUUAAUCGACCCGUCUUGAAACACGGACCAAGGAGUCUAACAUGCCUGCGAGUGUUUGGGUGGCAAACCCGAGUGCGGAAUGAAAGUG
rnacentral:rRNA from 1 species